GAUGAAGAACGUAGCGAAAUGCGAUAAGUAAUGUGAAUUGCAGAAUUCCGUGAAUCAUCGAAUCUUUGAACGCAUAUUGCGCCCUCUGGUAUUCCGGGGGGCAUGCCUGUCCGAGCGUCAUUUCACCACUCAAGCCUGGCUUGGUGUUGGGCGACGUCCCCUUUGGGGACGCGCCUCGAAACGCUCGGCGGCGUGGCACCGGCUUUAAGCGUAGCAGAAUCUUUCGCUUUGGAAGUCGGGGCCCCGUCUGCCGGAAGACCUACUCGCAAGGUUGACCUCGGAUCAGGCAGGGAUACCCGCUGAACUUAAGCAUAUCAAUAAGCGGAGGA
rnacentral:misc_RNA from 1 species